UCCAAAAAGUUUCACCCAAAAAGCUUCACCUAAAAAAGCUUCACCCAAAAAAAAAAACUUCACCUCCAAAAAGCUUCACCCAAACAGUUUCACCUAAAAAAGCUUCACCCAUCAAAGCUUCACCUAAAAAGCUUCACCCACAAAGCUUCACCCAAAAAGCUUCACCUCCAAAACUUCACCCAAAAAGCUUCAUCCAAAAAGUUUCACCCAAAAAGCUUCACCUAAAAAAGCUUCACCCAAAAAAAAAAAAAAAAAACUUCACCUCCAAAAAGCUUCACCCAAACAGCUUCACCUAAAAAAGCUUCACCCACAAAGCUUCACCUAAAAAGCUUCACCCACAAAGCUUCACCCAAAAAACUUCACCCGAAAAGCUUCACCUAAAAAGCUUCACCUACACAGCUUCACCUAAAAAAGCUUCACCUAGAAAGCUCCCUCUACAUACUUUCACCAUCAAAGCUUCACCAUCAAAGCUUCACCUAGAAAGCUUCAACACAAAACCUUGCUCCAAAUAACCAAAUUUUGUUCACAAAACCCAAGAUGCCCUUGAACUUGUACAAAAACACUUGGGUAAACAUAAACAUUUUUUGUUUUACACCCACAAGGGCCCAAAAUCUUCCUUCUUAUUUAUUCACUUAUAUAUGUUCCCAAACAUAUUAUAAUAAAUCAAACAACAAGCCAAAAUCCCAAGUUUAACUAGAAAUCCAACCCAAGCAACCUCUUUCACUCUCUUCCUCUUCCGCCUCCUUUCAUCUAUCAAAUUUCUGCAACCUUUGCUCUUCUCCAGUGGAGCUGAAUUUUGGACACCCUAUAGUUAUUGAGCAGAUGAACAACUUUCAAGAAGGAAUCGUUUCUGUUUGAGCGACGGAAAUUAAAGUGUUGAGGCUCCAAACACAACAGUCGGAUUCCCGCAAAUUUAAAGACUGCUUUGAUGUUUCGAAGAUCUGGAAAUAUUUAACCGUUAGUUCAUUCUGAAUUUUUGAUAUGUCAUGAAAGAGAUGAUAAGGAACAACUUCGAUGAAGAAAGUAUGUUGAUCUGAACAAGAGAAAAUGGAGUUUCGAAGCUCACAACAAGUCUGACAGGUUGACAGAAAAAUGAUGAACAGUCACUCAUCAUACCUGAAUUUCUGGAUUUGUACUGCUCCGAUGGAUCUCAAAUUUGGAUAUGUUGUAGCUUCACAAGUUGAGGAACAACUUCGAUGAAGAAAGUAUGUUGAGAUGAACAAGAAAAAAUGGAGUUUAGAAGCUCACAACAAGUCUGACGGGUUAACAGAAAAUUGAUGAACAGUUACUCAUCAUACCUGAAUUUCUGGAGUUUUACUACUCCGAUGGAUCUCAAAUUUGGAUAUGUUGUAGUUCACAAGAUAAGGAACAACUUUCAUGAAGA
rnacentral:lncRNA from 1 species